rnacentral:rRNA from 1 species
UACGUAGGGGGCUAGCGUUGUCCGGAAUCAUUGGGCGUAAAGCGCGUGUAGGCGGUCCGGUAAGUCCGCUGUGAAAGUCGGGGGCUCAACCCUCGGAUGCCGGUGGAUACUGUCGGGCUUGAGUACGGAAGAGGCGAGUGGAAUUCCUGGUGUAGCGGUGAAAUGCGCAGAUAUCAGGAGGAACACCAAUUGCGAAUGCAGCUCGCUGGGACGUUACUGACGCUGAGACGCGAAAGCGUGGGGAGCAAACAGG